rnacentral:lncRNA from 1 species
GCCAGCUGCGGGCCGUCCAGCGGCUGUGCUACUUCUACAGCGUCGUCAUGCCCAGCGAGACCCAGUGUGUCAUCUACCACGAGUUCCAGCUCUCCCUUGCCCGCAAGGUGGCCGACAAGGUGCUGGAGGGGGCAGCUCCUGGAGACCACCAGUCAGCUCUACCGGUCCCUGGGCACCGAGCGUGAUUCCAGGGCCUACAAAUCCGCUCUGGACUACACCAAACGAAGUCUGGGAAUUUUCAUUGACCUCCAGAAGAGAAGGAGGCGCAUGCCUGGCUGCAAGCAGGGAAGAUCUAUUACCUCCUGCAGCAGAGCGAGCUGGUAGACCUGUACAUCCAGGUGGCUCAGAAUGUGGACCUGUACACAGGCGACCCCAACCUGGGGCUGGAGCUGUUUGAGGCAGCUGGAGACAUCUUCUUCAAUGGGGCCUGGGAGCGGGAGGAAGGCAUGUCCUUCUACCGGGACCGGGCCCUGCCCCGGCAGUGACUACGGGCAACCGCAAGGUGGAGCUGCAGCUACAGCUGUGCAACAAGCUGGUGUCACUGCUGGCCACACUGGAGGAGCCCCAGGAGGACUUGGAGUUUGCUUACAUGGCCCUAGCACUCAGGAUCACUCUGGGGGACCGGCUGAACGAACGCGUGGCCUACCACCGGCUGGCCGCCCUGCACCACCGGCUGGACCAUGGCAAGCUGGCGGAGCACUUCUACCUCAAGGCCGUUUAGCUCUGCAACUCGCCGCUGGAGUUCGACGAGGAGACCCUCUACUACGUGAAGGUGUACCUGGUGCUCGGUGACAUCAUCUUCUACGACCUGAAGGUGGGUGGGGAGGAGCAGGGCUCGGGGUGUUCCUGGCCCCCUUGGAGUGGGAUCUCCACCCGGACCCCAGAGGCCUGGGUUCCAGCCUUUCUUAGGAAUGGCCCAGUGGCCUCCCUCGAGCUCUACACCCAGCUGGAGGAGCCGGCAAGGUUAGCAGGU